rnacentral:rRNA from 1 species
UACCUGAUUCAGCGGCGGACGGGUGAGUAAUGCCUAGGAAUCUGCCCGAUAGUGGGGGACAACGUUUCGAAAGGAACGCUAAUACCGCAUACGUCCUACGGGAGAAAGUGGGGGAUCUUCGGACCUCACGCUAUCGGAUGAGCCUAGGUCGGAUUAGCUAGUUGGUGAGGUAAUGGCUCACCAAGGCGACGAUCCGUAACUGGUCUGAGAGGAUGAUCAGUCACACUGGAACUGAGACACGGUCCAGACUCCUACGGGAGGCAGCAGUGGGGAAUAUUGGACAAUGGGCGAAAGCCUGAUCCAGCCAUGCCGCGUGUGUGAAGAAGGUCUUCGGAUUGUAAAGCACUUUAAGUUGGGAGGAAGGGCAGUAAGCUAAUACCUUGCUGUUUUGACGUUACCAACAGAAUAAGCACCGGCUAACUUCGUACCAGCAGCCGCGGUAAUACGAAGGGUGCAAGCGUUAAUCGGAAUUACUGGGCGUAAAGCGCGCGUAGGUGGUUCAGCAAGUUGGAUGUGAAAUCCCCGGGCUCAACCUGGGAACUGCAUCCAAAACUACUGAGCUAGAGUACGGUAGAGGGUGGUGGAAUUUCCUGUGUAGCG